rnacentral:rRNA from 1 species
GACGAACGCUGGCGGCGUGCUUAACACAUGCAAGUCGAACGAAGUGGCGAACGGGUGAGUAACGCGUAAUCAACCUGCCCUUCAGAGGGGGAUAACAGUUGGAAACGACUGCUAAUACCGCAUACUGAAGGAGGGGAUUGCGUCUGAUUGGCUAGUUGGGGGGGUAACGGCCCACCAAGGCGAUGAUCAGUAGCCGGGCUGAGAGGGUGAACGGCCAAAUGGGGAAUGAGACAAGGCCAAGACGCAUACGGGAGGCAGCAGGGGGGAAUCUUCCGCAAUGGACGAAAGUCUGACGGAGCAACGCAGCGUGAGUGAUGACGGCCUUCGGGUUGUAAAGCUCUGUUAAUCGGGACGCGGUACCGGAAUAGAAAGCAACGGCUAACUACGUGCCAGCAGCCGCGGUAAUUC